AUUCAUUUUUCAUUCCAACUUAUACCAAAUUAUAUAAUAUAAUAUUUACCAUUUUAUCAAACUAAUAACAAAAUAUGGUAUACCUUUCUUACAACUAACAUUACAAGCAUAUCUAUAUAACUUAUACAACACCUAGUACAUGCCACUUUCAAUUAAGAAAGAAAACAUCACCCAAAAUUUGCUGGAGUCGGGAUCGUUCAGAUGCUGGACCGGGGUACUAGACUCCUAUUAACCUGCGCACGGAAACAACCGCACGCUGAGUAUUCCGUACUCAGUGGUAUUACCAUAAUUCAAAUUAUAAUAGCAAUAAAGAAUUUUAAUUACCAAACAUGUAACUAUCUAAUUUCACAAAUAUCAAUUCAUUCUUAAACUUUCAUUAAUUAAUAAUAACGAUACAAUUUUUAUCUAUUCUUCAGUUUCCAUCACAUAUUACAUGUAACAAUUUCAAUCACUACAUGAACAUUAAGUUCAUGCCUUUCAUUUUCAAUCUCAAUUUCAAUCCACUAUUCAACUUUUUCGUUUCUUUCAAUAUUUCACUAAUAUAAUCAAUCAAUUUAUUUUAAAUUUCUAAUUUUAGAUAUUCACCCUAUUAACAAAAUCCGGACUUUGACGGAUACACGGAUUCCAACCCAACACACCAGUACGGCACAUUGUGCCUAAAAUGGUACAUAGUACCUGAUCAGUAUACGACACAUAAAGUGCCUAAAACGACACACGAGGUGCCUGAUACGACACACGAGGUGCCUGAUACGACACAUAAAGUGCCUGAUCGAUAAAGCCGGCAAAUCCCGUACACUUCCAUAUCCUAUGGCAUGCCAAUUAUAUCCGACUUAGCCCGACUAGUUAAUAGAGUAUUUCAAUUCUCAAUUCACUUUCAUUUCCAUUCCAAGAUUACUUUUCAAUUAAAAUUUUCACAUUCAAAUCAAUUUACAAUUCAAUUAUACAUACACAUUCACCAUUCAAUUCAAUUCUCAUUCAACUCAAAUAUCAAUACUUACCUUAUAAUUCACUUAUUAAAUAUAGAAUUGAUAUAAAGCAUUUAAUAAAAAGUAAUUUGAAUUAUAGUAAUACAAACUGUGAAUUUCUCGUUUUAAUCCUCGAUAGCUUUCUCCUUUCCUUUGUGCGCCGAUGUCUUGGGUUCUUUGUUAACUACGAAAAUAAUAAUAAUUUAUAAUCAUCAAUAUAACACAAUUCAAUUUAAUCCAUGAGUCUAAACAUGCAAAUUUAACCAUUUUUAUACACAUAAUUCCACUAUUUACUUAUAUGUUCAUUCAAAGCUGUCUACUUGAGUCAUUGUUACUAAAUCAUUUAUAUCUUGAGCUAGGAAACUCCAAAUUAAGAUCCACUAAUUUUUUCUAAAACUAGACUCACAUAUCUUCUUACCAUAAAAUUUUUAGAAUUUUUGGUUAAGCCAAUAAGUACAGUUUAUUCUUUAAAGUUGCCCCCGUUCUGCUGUCAAAUAGUUCCGACCAUUCUUCACUAAAAAUUAAUUAUAUCACAGUACAGAACUCGGAUAAUAUUCCCGUUGAUUUAUCCUGAAAAUAUACUCAUUAAGGAUUCUAAACAUAUAACUUUAAGCCUCUAAUUAUUUUUCUUCAAUUUUUGGUUAUUUUCCAAAGUCAGAACAUGGGAAUCUGAAUUUAUUCUGACCUUGUCUCACAAAACUCAUUAUAUCUCAUAAUUUACAAUUCAAAUGCUUAUAUCGUUUCUUCUAUAAGAAACUAGACUCAAUAAGAUUUAAUUCCAUAUUUUAUUCAUCCUCUAAUUCAAUUUCUACAAUUUUUUAUGAUUUUUCAAACUUAGACUACUGCUGCUGUCCAAAAUAGUCUUAGUACAAAAUGUUGAUUUACUUUAAUUUCAAUUUAAUCCUAACUAAAUUCACUUACUUUUCUAUCUUAAUUCAUACUUUAUUUCUAUUCAAAUUUUGUCCAAACUCAUACUUAACUAUUAAAUUUCCAGCAUAUUUUCAUAAUUUUGAAUUUAUUUCCAUUUAAUCCCUAAAACUCAAAACUUAUAACUUAGUUUACGAUUCAAUCCUUUAUUCAAUUCUAAUCAAAAUUUCUAUCAAAUAAACCCCUAAUUCCAUCAUUUUAUUCAACAUGAACCAAACUUAAAAAUCUAAUGACUUUUAAAAUUUCUACUUAAAACAAGUACUAUUUAUCUCUAGGAUUCCAAAAACUCAAAAAUCAUAAGAAAAGGGGCUAAAUUGACUUACCAAAUUAACUUGGAACCUUUAAAACCCUAUUUUCCCUUUUUCUUUUCUUUCUUUCUUUCUCCCCUGUUUCUUCUCUGUUUCGUUUCUGCUAUUUU
rnacentral:lncRNA from 1 species